rnacentral:rRNA from 1 species
CUACGGGUCGCUCCAGUGAGGAAUAUUGCACAAUGGGGGGAACCCUGAUGCAGCAACGCCGCGUGGAGGAUGACGCAUUUCGGUGUGUAAACUCCUUUUAUGAGUCAAGAAAAUGACGGUAGCUCAUGAAUAAGCACCGGCUAACUCCGUGCCAGCAGCCGCGGUAAUACGGAGGGUGCAAGCGUUACUCGGAAUCACUGGGCGUAAAGGACGCGUAGGCGGGUUGGUAAGUCAGGUGUGAAAUCCUACAGCUUAACUGUAGAACUGCACUUGAAACUACCAAUCUAGAGUAUGGGAGGGGGAGAUGGAAUUAGUGGUGUAGGGGUAAAAUCCGUAGAUAUCACUAGGAAUACCUAAAGCGAAGGCGAUCUCCUGGAACAUUACUGACGCUAAGGCGUGAAAGCGUGGGGAGCAAACAGGAUUAGAUACCCCCGUAGUC